UACGAAGGGGGCUAGCGUUGUUCGGAAUUACUGGGCGUAAAGCGUGCGCAGGCGGCUUCUCAAGUCAGGGGUGAAAGCCCAGAGCUCAACUCUGGAAUUGCCUUUAAAACUGCAUCGCUAGAAUUGUGGAGAGGUAAGUGGAAUUCCGAGUGUAGAGGUGAAAUUCGUAGAUAUUCGGAAGAACACCAGUGGCGAAGGCGACUUACUGGACACAUAUUGACGCUGAGGUGCGAAAGCGUGGGGAGCAAACAGG
rnacentral:rRNA from 1 species